GUCCACGCCCUAAACGAUGGAUACUCGACAUUUGCGAUAUACAGUAAGUGUCUGAGCGAAAGCAUUAAGUAUCCCACCUGGGAAGUACGAUCGCAAGAUUGAAACUCAAAGGAAUUGACGGGGUCCGCACAAGCGGUGGAGCAUGUGGUUUAAUUCGAUGAUACGCGAGGAACCUUACCUGGGCUAGAAUGCGGUUUGACCGUGGGUGAAAGCUCACUUUGUAGCAAUACACAGAUCGUAAGGUGCUGCAUGGCUGUCGU
rnacentral:rRNA from 1 species